rnacentral:lncRNA from 1 species
GGGCCGCUCCCGGGAGGUGGCCGGCGCUCCCGCCGCCGCCUCCUCGCGCCCCCUCCAGCGGGUAGAAGUGCGCGCCGGGCAGGUUCACAGAGCUCACCAAGAGCUGCUCCCCUAACUGCAUGCUUUGCAGAGCGCAGACGGCAGCUGGCUGCUUCCUCUCCGGCCGCGACCUGAUUAUAAAGGCAGGAUGGGGGAGCCAGCGCCCUCUUCCGAGGGGAAGGUAACUUCCCCUUCCUCCCGUGCCGGGUUACCCACCUGGCGACACGCGGGCCGCUAAGGCGCGCGCAAUUGCGCGCUGCGAACCCAGAACCCUUUCCGAAUGGAAAGCGCACGGAGUUUGAAGGCAAGAGGCUAAAGCUGACCGGGAAGCGAUCCGCUUUUCCUUCCCGGUCCUUUCUGCCUCUCUGGACCUGUACUCUCCUGGCCCGCACACACAGGAAGAAGUCUUAGAUCUCUCUCCCCAUCCACCACCAGAGCUAGCCUUUCUGCCCUUCUCCACUGACAAACUAUCGGUCAGGUUGACCACUUGGAAACUUGCAGGCUGUCAUUGGCUGCUUUAUAUAUGUGAGGCCAGGGAGUGGCUUCGCGGCCCUACAGCCUCGGGACCCUCUGAUUGGUUGUUGGAGGUGACACUAAUUCAAUUAGGCAUUUACUAAUUGGAUCAAGUUGCCUGAGACUUUAUUUUCCUAUCCUUUAGCCUGAUUUUUUUUUUUUUUUUUUUGAGAUGCUGUCAUGCUAUGAGAAUCAGUCCUGGUGUCCGUAUUUCGCUGGAGUUUAGGGUCUCCGUAGCGGGGUCCACUCUUGGCACAGAAAUCGAGACAGCUCUCCGAGUGGGGGUGAGGGGGCGGGCGCAGGUUGUGGAGGCAGGAGGUAGAAAUGCUCUGCAAGUUGAUGGCCUGCAGGAAGGCACCGGUCCCUGAGGAGUGGCUCGAGUCAGGUCUCAGCUUUGCGCCCGACCGCAGCGAGACAGCGGGCCUCGGGGUCCCUUCGAAUCGUUUUCGAGGCGGCCAGGAAGCUCUGCGCGUGGCAAAGCGCCACUGCAGGCAACAGGCAUCGCUCCGACCCACUCUGGCGCAAGUAACGCGAGCCAGCUGUCCCCCGCGCCACAUCAGAAAGGCUUGA